rnacentral:rRNA from 1 species
UACGGAGGGGGCUAGCGUUGUUCGGAAUUACUGGGCGUAAAGCGCGCGUAGGCGGCUUUGUAAGUUAGAGGUGAAAGCCCGGAGCUCAACUCCGGAACUGCCUUUAAGACUGCAUCGCUAGAAUUGUGGAGAGGUGAGUGGAAUUCCGAGUGUAGAGGUGAAAUUCGUAGAGAUGCGGAGGAACACCGAUGGCGAAGGCAGCCCCCUGGGCUGACACUGACGCUCAGGCACGAAAGCGUGGGGAGCAAACAGG